AUACCAAUCUAGCCUGGCUAGGUGUUGGGCCUCGCCGUCUGGCGGGCCUUAAAACUAGUGGCGGUGCUCUUCAGCUCUACGCGUAGUAAUUUUCUCGCUAUAGGGUCUGGGGAGAUGCUUGCCAGCAACCCCAAAUUUUUCUA
rnacentral:misc_RNA from 1 species